AGGAAAUUUGAGAGGAGCUGUCCUUAGUACGAGAGGACCGGGAUGGACGUACCGCUGGUGCACCAGUUGUUCCGCCAGGAGCAUGGCUGGGUAGCUACGUACGGACGGGAUAAGCGCUGAAAGCAUCUAAGCGUGAAGCCCCCCUCAAGAUGAGAUUUCCCAACUAGUAAGACCCCUUGAAGACGACGAGGUAGAUAGGUUGGAGGUGGAAGUGCAGCAAUGCAUGGAGCUGACCAAUACUAAUCGGUCGAGGGCUUAUCCAAAUGACCCCAAA
rnacentral:rRNA from 1 species